CUGAAUGUCAAAGUGAAGAAAUUC
rnacentral:piRNA from 4 species